AGGGGAAUAGCUCAGUGAUAGAGCUCAUUCUUAGCAUGCGUGAGGCCCUGGGUUCAACCCCCAGUACUUCCA
rnacentral:tRNA from 1 species